GCCAGUGUGAUGUAGUGGUUUGAGUGUUGGACUAUGACUCUGGAGACCAGGGUUCGAAUCCCGGCUCAGCCA